rnacentral:rRNA from 1 species
UACGGAGGGAGCUAGCGUUGUUCGGAAUUACUGGGCGUAAAGCGCACGUAGGUGGCCAACUAAGUCGGACGUGAAAUCCCUCAGCUUAACUGGGGAACUGCAUCCGAUACUGGGUGGCUUGAGUUUGGGAGAGGGAUGCGGAAUUCCAGGUGUAGCGGUGAAAUGCGUAGAUAUCUGGAGGAACACCGGUGGCGAAGGCGGCAUCCUGGACCAACACUGACACUGAGGAGCGAAAGCCAGGGGAGCAAACGGG